UACGUAGGGUGCAGGCGUUAAUCGGAAUUACUGGGCGUAAAGCGUGCGCAGGCGGUUUGCUAAGACAGGUGUGAAAUCCCCGGGCUUAACCUGGGAACUGCGCUUGUAACUGGCAAGCUAGAGUGUGGCAGAGGGGGGUGGAAUUCCAGGUGUAGCAGUGAAAUGCGUAGAGAUCUGGAGGAACACCGAUGGCGAAGGCAGCCCCCUGGGCUAACACUGACGCUCAUGCACGAAAGCGUGGGGAGCGAACAGG
rnacentral:rRNA from 1 species